GUUCGUUUUGUUCUUAAUACAUGUGAAUUCGGUGGAAUUGAGUGCGUUUAAAUCCUAAAUAAGUCAAAAACUUUUAUAUUUUUUCUAAUCUCAUCCACGUGUGCUAGUAUCCACUUAUCAUAGGAAUAACCGAACAAAGGCAUAAGUUGUUUCUAUAUAUCACAAGACAUAUUAUCACAUAUGGAGAUAGACAAGGACGGCACGAGAGGAUGUUCUAUGAUUAUUUGGCUGAUGAUCUCAUUAAGUACGGUCUGGCUUUAUUCCGUUGGAGGUUGGGACGUGUUCAGUACAUUAAUAGUAUGUGAUAUUUUGUAUAAAUUGUGUUGGUUGUAUUAAUUUCAUUUAUGUUUGUGCAGAUUAGGAGUAGUGUGGUUGUUUCGCGCGUGCAUAAAGCAUUGCCAAUGAUGACCAUAUUGUCGCAUAUGUUUUUCCUUCCGACAAAUAGAUCACUGUUUAGUGCUAGGAAAUCGUAGGGUUAAGGUUAUGUGUGAUAUCCUGGUCCCUGUAAUGGUAAUUUUUUGAACCAAGAAUUAAUGGAAUUAAUAGAGUAUC
rnacentral:lncRNA from 7 species